rnacentral:rRNA from 1 species
UACGUAGGGGGCAAGCGUUGUCCGGAAUCAUUGGGCGUAAAGCGCGUGUAGGCGGCUCGAUAAGUCUGCUGUGAAAGUCCAGGGCUCAACCCUGGGAUGCCGGUGGAUACUGUCGAGCUCGAGUCCGGAAGAGGCGAGUGGAAUUCCUGGUGUAGCGGUGAAAUGCGCAGAUAUCGGAAGGAACAUCAGUGGCGAAAGCGGCUUCCUGGACCAGAACUGACGAUCAGGCACGAAAGCGUGGGGAGCAAACAGG